UGAAGACCAGCUGACCUGCUGAGUUCAAUGUGGCUCAAUGUGCUGACUUGCUGAGACGAAAGUGAUGGGCUCAAUGUGGGUUUCCAUGGUUUUACGAUUUUGCCCUUCUUUUAAAAAACAGAUGCACCGUUGUUUGUUGCUGAGCUCAACCUAUUAUCCACUGGAUUCAAUCUAAGACGUGCAGUAGCAGAGAAAAUCACAUCAAUUGAAGGAAAAAGAUGAAAACUUUUAUGGGAUGCAAAUGCAAGUACUUGUGGAUAUAUUCCAUCCUUUUCUGUCCUCCAAAGAGUGAGGAAGAAAAGGAAGAACAACCUCUGUGAAAUUUGUGGAGGAUGGCAAAAAAUUGUGGAAGAAGCAAUCUUUAUUUGUGGUCCAGGAAUAAACAAAUGGUGAAGAUAGCCUUUAAGUAGGUGUUUGUUCACCUUUUAUUGUUGUUUUUCCUUUUUUGGGUUUUAAUGAUAGUAUAAGUUCUAAUUAAUUCAGGUUCUGUUUAAUUGAUAUGUGAGAAUACCUUAAACUAGGUGACUUGGUUGAGCAGAUAUUGUGCACAUCCGUAUUUGGAACUCCAUAGCAUGUCAGCUUCCUUAUUUGGCUAUCUAGAUAGACUAUUUUGUAGUGUGAAAAUGUCAUCUUCUUUUGAUGGGCUUUUGAAUAACGAAUCAUUAGUUUCUUUUCAUUGAUUAAUUUUAUAGAUUGAUUACACUUUUGUUGUUAGAGUAAGUUUUACUUGGUAAUAAAUUUGUAUAUUUCAUCUUUAACCUUUUGGGUUCAUUUCUUGAACUUCAAUAUUUAUAGGUAUAAACUUGUUGAAAAAAGGAUGAGAGGCAUUGGCAGUGUGAGGAGGGACGUAAAAGAAAAGAAGAAAGGUGUGCGAAAAAGUGCAAGUUGAAAUACUGAUACUGAAAUGAUUAUGGUCAUUACUGUAAUGAUUAAAAUGUUAAGAAAAAGCUAGAGAUUGAGUUUCAAGAAAAGACCCUUGGGUUACUUGGCGCUAACAUAGGCAUUGGUCAUUUAAGUUUCCUAUUCUUUGGGAAAUUCACUAUUAUUUGACCAUUUCAAUAUUCUUUUACCAUACUAGAGCUACUGUGUUUGGUUGACUGUAUCAUUGAUAGCUAUUUAAUGUAACUUGUCUUUACUCC